rnacentral:rRNA from 1 species
GGAUGCGGGCGCGGCACCA